CUGAGGCAAGAGUACUGAAAUUUGUUCUUUAAUUUACUUGAUUAUCCAAGUUGGGCAUUUGAAGAAACACAUCCAUGUUUCCCCAUCGCUUAGUGCCACUGGGUAAAAAGAAAUCUAAAAUGCAAGGAGGGGAGAAGAAGAAAAUGCCCCACAUACCACAGCCAAAUCCAAGUCAACUCCUCACACCACCCAACCACCCAUCCCAGAAGAAUGAAACCACACAACACACCAGGACAGCACAGAGCCAACUUUGCUUUCACAGAGAGAUGUUUUCUCAACCAAAAAAGCAACCCUUAGAAUAUUGCUGGAAAAAUCUGUUAGAGAAGCAAGUGCAGUGUCGGACGCCUCUCCCGAUGGCCUUCCCUUCACCUAGACCCACCCAGACGCGGAGAACCCACGUCGCCCGCCCAGCGCCUCCCGCCCGCCUGCGACAUUGACCAUUAGCCACUCGCAUCUUCAAGGAGUCAUUAGGACCUUGUUCUAUUGCAACAAUUUGGUUGACCUUCCAAGACCGGUCGGAGCGAACAUCCCGGACCGAACUACUUAGCGGGGGAAAUUCCGUGGGGGAGCACUCUGUGUGACCUCCUCUGGGUCCCAGCACCCAAGCCUGGAAGUCCCAUUAGGAUGACCCGAGAUAAAAGCCUUGGGUGGCGCUUCUCGCCAAUCCCAGGCCCAUUUGCACUUCUCAGCUCCCCUGCGCCCCCUCCUCCCCCCUCCCUCCUCCCAUCCCUCUCCU